rnacentral:sRNA from 1 species
GUGGCCAUGGCCGCGCCGCUCCAGCGGGGGCGGGCCCUGGGCCCCCGCCGUUGGGGUCCCACAGUUUCCAGCAGCCGCUUUCCUCAGUGCCCGGUGGCCCAGGAGGGCCUGGGAGCCCGAGGCCGUCCCCGAGUCGCUCCUGGGUCACUGGCGCGAUGCGGGCCGUCCUCUCGGCUGAUGGGUUGGAAGCCCAGCGAGGCUAGAGGCCAGUCCCAAAGUCUCCAGACAUCAGGGCUGCAGCCCAGGAGCCUCAAGGCGCCCCGGCGGGCGACUGGACGGCCGGACAGGUCCCGAGCAGCCCCGCCCACCAUGGACCCCCUGCCCACGUCCCGAGCGCCCCGCCCACCAUGGACCCAGACCCCCAGGCAGGCGUGCAGGUGGGCAUGCGGGUGGUGCGCGGCGUGGACUGGAAGUGGGGCCAGCAGGACGGCGGCGAGGGCGGCGUGGGCACGGUGGUGGAGCUUGGCCGCCACGGCAGCCCCUCGACACCUGACCGCACAGUGGUCGUGCAGUGGGACCAGGGCACGCGCACCAACUACCGCGCCGGCUACCAGGGCGCGCACGACCUGCUGCUCUACGACAACGCCCAGAUCGGUGCGCGCCACGGGCAGGCGGGACGGGCAGGACCCGGGGGCGGGAACGCCCCUCUGACCCCACCCCACCCCUAGGCGUCCGGCAUCCCAACAUCAUCUGUGACUGCUGCAAGAAGCACGGGCUGCGGGGGAUGCGCUGGAAGUGCCGCGUGUGCCUGGACUACGACCUCUGCACGCAGUGCUACAUGCACAACAAGCACGAGCUCGCCCACGCCUUCGACCGCUACGAGACCGCUCACUCGCGCCCUGUCACACUGAGUCCCCGCCAGGGCCUCCUGAGGAUCCCACUAAGGGGCAUCUUCCAGGGAGCAAAGGUGGUGCGAGGCCCCGACUGGGAGUGGGGCUCACAGGAUGGAGGGGAAGGGAAACCAGGCCGUGUGGUGGACAUCCGUGGCUGGGAUGUGGAGACAGGCCGGAGUGUGGCCAGCGUGACGUGGGCUGAUGGUACCACCAACGUGUACCGUGUGGGCCACAAGGGCAAGGUGGACCUCAAGUGUGUGGGCGAGGCAGCGGGCGGCUUCUACUACAAGGACCACCUCCCAAGGCUUGGCAAGCCGGCCGAGCUGCAGCGCAGGGUGAGUGCUGACAGCCAGCCCUUCCAGCAUGGGGACAAGGUCAAAUGUCUGCUGGACACCGACGUCCUGCGGGAGAUGCAGGAAGGCCACGGCGGCUGGAACCCCAGGAUGGCGGAGUUUAUCGGACAGACGGGCACCGUGCAUCGCAUCACGGACCGCGGGGACGUGCGCGUGCAGUUCAACCACGAGACGCGCUGGACCUUCCACCCCGGGGCGCUCACCAAGGUGCCUGGGGGGCUGGGCUGCGCCUCAUCUGUUUGCUUCUGUAACCCCUUCCACAUACCCACUCGGCCUUGGGGGGUCAGGCAGGACUAGGGUGCCAGCUGCACCCACGAGUCCCCAGCCCUGAAGGAAGGGGAGGGACUGGUGGGUGGGGUCAAGAAGAGGGGGUUGGGUGUGAAGGAACCCAGAUGAGGGUAUGUCUCUGGGAGCUGGUAUGGCUGGAAUGGGCAGGUUAGGGCCUCCCUCUGUUCCAGGACACCAGGAAGGCAGGACAGCUUCAUGGGCGGGAGGGAGGCAGCUAGGCUAAGUUGCUCCUGGUUAGUACUGUAUGGGGGCCGAUGGGGGUGGCUGGUUAGGGCAGGAGGGUGGACGCUUGGCCUAGAGUGGUGGGGGAGGUAGUGAGCGCUGUCUGGAAAGCAGGAUGGCAGGGAGGGGGCUGGAGGUGGUGGCGGUGGCAGCUUGGAUGGCCCUGGGAGGGGCAGGCCCGGGGCAAAGCGUCAGAGCUCAGCUCUGGAUCUGGGGUCCUGGAUACCAGGCACCUUUGAGGAGGUGCCGAAGGGAGUCAUGAGACGGGCUUGUAGAGUGAGUUCCCUGCAUAUGAGGGCUCAGGUGGGGCAGAGUGGGCCCGCCCUGCACCCCAUGGUCCUGGGCCCCACCCCCACACUGGCUUACGGGUCCUGGCCAUGCUGCCUGCUGCUGGUCAGCAUAUAGCUUCCCAGGGCAGCCACCUCGGCCUGACACCUGCCCGGAGCUGGCUUCUGUCUGCCUGGACACUCCUCCCAUGGCUGUGGGGCUAGGGACACCAGGGCUGCCUUGGACACCUGGGGCUCUCGUCCAGCCAGAGCCUCUGGCAGUGCUUGGGGUCGGGGUCGGGGCCAGGGCCAGGGCCGAGUCAGGCCUGCCUGUCUCGUGGAGCUCAGCAGGUUGCCCUCCUGUUCCAUGAGCCUGGGCAGCCACACACAGCUGGGGGGCCCCUCACGCCCCUCUUUGUUGCUCAGCACCACUCCUUCUGGGUGGGCGACGUGGUCCGGGUCAUCGGUGACCUUGACACAGUGAAGCGGCUGCAGGCUGGGCACGGCGAGUGGACGGAUGACAUGGCCCCUGCCCUGGGCCGCGUUGGCAAAGUGGUGAAAGUGUUUGGAGACGGGAACCUGCGUGUAGCAGUCGCUGGUCAGCGGUGGACCUUCAGCCCCUCCUGCCUGGUGGCCUACCGGCCCGAGGAGGAUGCCAACCUGGACGUGGCUGAGCGCGCCCGGGAGAACAAAAGUGCGGCACAGCUCAGGCGGCCAGUGGGCGGUGGGGCUGCCCCUGGCCACCGCUCACCUCAGUCCUGCCCCCAGGCUCACUGAGCGUGGCCCUGGACAAGCUUCGGGCCCAGAAGAGUGACCCAGAGCACCUGGGAAGGCUGGUGGUGGAGGUGGCGCUGGGUAACGCAGCCCGGGCUCUGGACCUGCUGCGGAGGCGCCCAGAGCAGGUGGACACCAAGAACCAAGGCAGGACCGCUCUGCAAGUGGCUGCCUAUCUGGGCCAGGUGGAGUUGGUACGGCUGCUGCUACAAGCCAGGGCGGGUGUGGACCUGCCGGACGACGAGGGCAACACGGCGCUGCACUACGCGGCCCUGGGGAACCAGCCGGAGGCCGCCAGGGUGCUCCUGAAUGCUGGGUGCCGGGCGGAUGCUCUCAACAGCACUCAGAGCACAGCGCUGCACGUGGCCGUGCAGAGGGGCUUCCUGGAGGUGGUGCGCGCUCUGUGUGAGCGCGGCUGUGACGUCAACCUGCCCGACGCCCACUCGGACACGCCCCUGCACUCCGCCAUCUCGGCGGGCACUGGAGCCAGCGGCAUUGUCGAGGUCCUCACGGAGGUGCCAAACAUCGAUGUCACCGCCACCAACAGCCAGGGUUUCACCCUGCUUCACCAUGCCUCCCUCAAGGGCCAUGCGCUAGCUGUGAGAAAGAUUCUGGCUCGGGCGCGGCAGCUGGUGGACGCCAAGAAGGAGGACGGCUUCACGGCGCUGCACCUGGCCGCGCUCAACAACCACCGCGAGGUGGCGCAGAUCCUCAUCCGGGAGGGCCGCUGUGACGUGAAUGUGCGCAACCGGAAGCUGCAGUCCCCGCUGCAUCUAGCCGUGCAGCAGGCCCACGUGGGGCUGGUGCCACUACUGGUGGACGCUGGGUGCAGUGUCAACGCCGAGGACGAGGAGGGGGACACAGCCCUGCACGUGGCGCUGCAGCGUCAUCAGCUGCUGCCCCUGGUGGCUGAUGGUGCCGGGGGGGACCCAGGGCCCUUGCAGCUGCUGUCCAGGCUGCAGGCCUCGGGCCUCCCUGGCAGCGCGGAGCUGACGGUGGGCGCGGCGGUCGCCUGCUUCCUGGCGCUGGAGGGCGCCGACGUGAGCUACACCAACCACCGCGGCCGGAGCCCGCUGGACCUGGCCGCCGAGGGCCGCGUGCUCAAGGCCCUUCAGGGCUGUGCCCAGCGCUUCCGGUGAGUCCGUGGACCGCGGGGAGGGGGUCCGGCGGCCUCCGGGCCUCUCUCAAGCAGCCUCUUCCCCCUGCAGGGAGCGGCAGGCGGGCGGGGGCGCGGCCCCAGGCCCCAGGCCAACGCUCGGGACCCCCAACACCGUGACGAACCUGCACGUGGGCGCCGCGCCGGGGCCCGAGGCCGCUGAGUGCCUGGUGUGCUCCGAGUUGGCGCUGCUGGUGCUGUUCUCGCCGUGCCAGCACCGCACCGUGUGUGAAGGUGAGUGGGGGGCCCCGGGGUGGGGGGCCCGGGUAGUACGGCCCCAGCCAACCGCGUACUCCUCUCCGCAGAGUGCGCGCGCAGGAUGAAGAAGUGCAUCAGGUGCCAGGUGGUCGUCAGCAAGAAACUGCGCGCAGACGGCUCUGAGGUGGCGAGCGCCGCCCCCGCCCCCGGCCCGCCGCGCCAGCUGGUGGAGGAGCUGCAGAGCCGCUACCGGCAGAUGGAGGAGCGUAUCACCUGCCCCAUCUGCAUCGACAGCCACAUCCGCCUCGUGUUCCAGUGCGGCCACGGCGCAUGCGCCCCCUGCGGCUCCGCGCUCAGCGCCUGCCCCAUCUGCCGCCAGCCCAUCCGCGACCGCAUCCAGAUCUUCGUGUGAGCCGCGCCGUCCGCCACGCCCGAGCUGCCUUCGCGUGCCCCCGCCCUGUGUUUUAUAAAAAGAUUCUCGG